GGGUUGCAACAUAAUUCUUCCCAAAGUGAUUCAAGCUAGGGUUUGGGUGUUCUUCAUUAGAAAAGUGAUUUGUUAAACCUUGUUUAACAAAUUAAGGUGACAAAGAAGAGCAGGUUCGUGAUACUUUCGACGCUUAAGAGAACUUGCUGCUGCUGUUGAUUUGGUGAGCCCACAUCCUUAUUCGUGGGACACUCCCGGUUUUAUUUAUUAUUCUAGAUUUCCGGGCUGCAUCCCCAAGUUAGACGAUUGUUGUGUCUCUUAGAAGCUCCAUAGAUAGUUGUCAGAAUUGUGGGUAGGUUGUUAAAGUCUCGUAUGACUUAAUGGGUGGUUGCCACGUUUGAGACUAUUUACUUAUAAAGAUUUCCGCUGAUUUAAUACCUGUAUUCAGGAUGUGUUACAUUUAGUUUA